GAUGAAGAACGUAGCGAAAUGCGAUAAGUAAUGUGAAUUGCAGAAUUCAGUGAAUCAUCGAAUCUUUGAACGCACAUUGCGCCCGCUGGUAUUCCAGCGGGCAUGCCUGUUCGAGCGUCAUUUCAACCCUCAAGCCCCCGGGUUUGGUGUUGGGGAUCGGCUCUGCCCUUCUGGGCGGUGCCGCCCCCGAAAUACAUUGGCGGUCUCGCUGCAGCCUCCAUUGCGUAGUAGCUAACACCUCGCAACUGGAACGCGGCGCGGCCAUGCCGUAAAACCCCAACUUCUGAAUGUUGACCUCGGAUCAGGUAGGAAUACCCGCUGAACUUAAGCAUAUCAAUAAGCGGAGGA
rnacentral:misc_RNA from 1 species